rnacentral:rRNA from 2 species
AAAUUGAAGAGUUUGAUCAUGGCUCAGAUUGAACGCUGGCGGCAGGCCUAACACAUGCAAGUCGAACGGUAACAGGAAGCAGCUUGCUGCUUCGCUGACGAGUGGCGGACGGGUGAGUAAUGUCUGGGAAACUGCCUGAUGGAGGGGGAUAACUACUGGAAACGGUAGCUAAUACCGCAUAACGUCGCAAGACCAAAGAGGGGGACCUUCGGGCCUCUUGCCAUCGGAUGUGCCCAGAUGGGAUUAGCUUGUUGGUGGGGUAACGGCUCACCAAGGCGACGAUCCCUAGCUGGUCUGAGAGGAUGACCAGCCACACUGGAACUGAGACACGGUCCAGACUCCUACGGGAGGCAGCAGUGGGGAAUAUUGCACAAUGGGCGCAAGCCUGAUGCAGCCAUGCCGCGUGUAUGAAGAAGGCCUUCGGGUUGUAAAGUACUUUCAGCGGGGAGGAAGGGAGUAAAGUUAAUACCUUUGCUCAUUGACGUUACCC